UGUAGAUUCAUCCAGGAUCAUGUGAGUAGUGUCGGCCUCUCCCAUUGGAUUAGCCCAGUGCUCCAAAGUUCACCCAUUCUCUCUCUGGCUUCUAUACCCCAUGUCUGGUAAUGUGGUUUUAGUAGGAUCUAUGUACUACCAUGUACUACUGCACAGUAAGAGGAUCCCAUUACACAGUAAAGGGAAAUCUGUCUGUUGACACUCUGAAGUUUGUAGAAAUGUUAAAACAAUGUAGGAGACUAAAACACAAUAGAUAUGGUAGGAGAAAAUCCAAAGAAAAACCAACCGGAAUUCUUUUUUUGAGAGCCCAUGCUCUUCCAAUGGAAUGUAUAGGGACACAGACUUGGAAAUCCGUGUAUGCGCGCGUGACGAAGAGGACAAGCACCUGCUAAUAUCGGUUUCCUAUUGAACAUACUUCUUUCUGUAUGAAAUGUUAGAGUUAAUUACAUUUUAGAGUAUCUGAGGAUUAAAUAGAAACGUAUUUUGACUUAUUUCAACAAAGUUUAGCGGUAGCUUUUUGGAUUCCUUUUUCUGCAUGUUGAACGAGAGGAUUACUGAAAUCGAUGACUUGUAUAUAAUCGACUUGUAUGUAAAUACAUGUUUAAUAUCCAUAAUGUUUAUGAUUAUUUAUCUUAAUGGUUGUUCAGUCGCCUCAAAUUAAACUGUGAAGGACCUCGGC